UACGGAGGGUGCAAGCGUUAUCCGGAUUCACUGGGUUUAAAGGGAGCGUAGGCGGGCUUGUAAGUCAGUGGUGAAAUCUCCGGGCUUAACUCGGAAACUGCCAUUGAUACUAUAAGUCUUGAAUUAUCUGGAGGUAAGCGGAAUAUGUCAUGUAGCGGUGAAAUGCUUAGAUAUGACAUAGAACACCCAUUGCGAAGGCAGCUUACUACGGGUAUAUUGACGCUGAGGCUCGAAAGCGUGGGAUCAAACAGG
rnacentral:rRNA from 1 species